rnacentral:misc_RNA from 1 species
CCUGCACCAAAAUGUAGUGUCAAAAUCUAUUGGUAAAGAUAUAGCACAUUGACAGAUUAUUCACAAGUAACCAAUCUAGAAAUAUAUUGACCUUCAGUCUAUUGCAAACACACCUGCAAGUGAUCAGAUGUCUAUCACAAUGCAUAUUGUGAUGUUCUAGCAGCCAUAUUAGCAACUUGAGCCUGCAUCUGAGCAGCCCUAACUUUUGAUGCUGUAGCACGAUGAAAGAAUUGUUCGCGGGACAACAACCUGAUGUUCCUCAAGUACUGGUCAAAUGGUAUUGCCCCGCCUUGUAUAGCUUUGUCCAACGAAUAAAUCACAUCCUCUAACGCCAAAUCUGAUGCCGUGCAAUCCAGCAUCUGCUUGGAAAGACUAUCACACGGCUCAAAGGCCGUAUCCACAUCCACAUUCCCUAAAUUGGUCGCUUUCCCCUCAUUCUCCCUCAGCCAUCCCUCUAAUACAUCACUAUUCAUCAAAACCAUCUGUAAUUGCUGCUCCAACCCCUCUUUCUCAUCCUGCAUUUCCUUUAACCCUUGUUUAAUGCUCAGGGAGUGUUGAAGCAGCGGGAGGAGCAGUUGAAACAAGGGUU